AAUCCAAUGCAAAUCCCGAACCUCCAUUAUGAAUUAUUAUUUUUGAUCAAAGAAGGGCUUCCCCCUUCCGAUUUUCAUUACUGAAAACUCACUGUAGAACCAUUAAGAUGAAUGGACGGGUACUCCUUUCAUGGUUUACGGCAAUCAGAAAUGAAAAUAAUAAGAAAGAUAAAAUCAGUAGCAACCGACCGACAAGUGUGUCCGUGGGCAACCAAUCGAGACCGCAUUUGACCGACCCUCACCGUCAGGGCAGUAUAUUCCAACAACCUGCAAGAUUUCAUACUCGCCUGUUAUAAAAAAAAAAGCAGAUUUCAUACUCACAUCCAGGGAACAUAAAUGUUAUCACAGAGGAUCGAUAACCAACCCUACCUAGAUAACGCCUGGAUCAUGUCGUGCUCAGGCCAGAGAUGCGUCAUCCAUACUCUGUUCUGUUGCCAUCAAAAAUAGCUGAUGUUAGACCUGCCUCAACCUCUAACCGACAGUAAAUUAUCAGAUCAAUGUAGGUCAUCGGAAAUAUAAGAGACAACUAACACGGUACAAACACUUUGUAAGCACACAAGGCUUUCCACCCAUUUUCCCGUUCAAUUGCUUAUUAAUUUUUGCGCCUCUAUGGUGAGCACGUGAUAAUGGAAAACUAGCCUUCAUAAGGCACACAGUAAGACAUGACCUUACAUAUAGCUUGUUAAAGCUUAAAUCGGAUAACAGAGAGACGAGAGACCGUUGGCGCAACAUACUACUGUACCAAGGAAAUAUCUAAAGUCCCUUUGGUCCACAUAGCUCCACCUGAGUCCAUAUAUGCAAAGCAGUAUAUCCGGAGCUAGAUCAAACACAAGCUCACAUGUCCAUCUCGACUUUACAACAACAACAACAACAAAGCCUUUAGUCCCAAACAAGUUGGGGUAGGCUAGAGGUGAAACCCAUAAGAUCUCGCAACCAACUCAUGGCUCUGGCACAUGGAUAGCAAGCUUCCACGCACCCCUGUCCAUAGCUAGCUCUUUGUCGAUACUCCAAUCCUUCAGGUCUCUCUUAAUGGACUCCUUCCAUGUCAAAAUCGGUCGACCCCGCCCUCUCUUGACAUUCUCCGCACGCUUUAGCCGUCCGCUAUGCACUGGAGCUUCUGGAGGCCUGCGCUGAAUAUGCCCAAACCAUCUCAAACGAUGUUGGACAAGCUUCUCCUCAAUUGGUGCUACCCCAACUAUAUCUCGUAUAUCAUCAUUCCGGACUCGAUCCUUCCUCGUGUGGCCACACAUCCAUCUCAACAUACGCAUCUCCGCCACACCUAACUGUUGAACAUGUCGCCUUUUAGUCGGCCAACACUCCGCGCCAUACAACAUUGCGGGUCGAACCGCCGUCCUGUAGAACUUGUCUUUUAGCUUUUGUGGCACUCUCUUGUCACAGAGAAUGCCAGAAGCUUGGCGCCACUUCAUCCAUCCGGCUUUGAUUCGAUGGUUCACAUCUUCAUCAAUACCCCCAUCCUCCUGCAAGAUUGACCCCAAAUACCGAAAGGUGUCCUUCCGAGGUACCACCUGGCCAUCAAGGCUAACCUCCUCCUCCUCACAGCUAGUAGUACUGAAACCGCACAUCAUGUACUCGGUUUUAGUUCUACUAAGCCUAAACCCUUUCGAUUCCAAGGUUUGUCUCCAUAACUCUAACUUCCUAUUUACCCCCGUCCGACUAUCGUCAACUAGCACCACAUCAUCCGCAAAGAGCAUACACCAUGGGAUAUCUCCUUGUAUACCCCUUGUGACCUCAUCCAUCACCAAUGCAAAAAGAUAAGGGCUCAAAGCUGACCCCUGAUGCAGUCCUAUCUUAAUCGGGAAGUCAUCGGUGUCGACAUCACUUGUUCGAACACUUGUCACAACAUUAUUGUACAUGUCCUUGAUGAGGGUAAUGUACUUUGCUGGGACUUUGUGUUUCUCCAAGGCCCACCACAUGACAUUCCGCGGUAUCUUAUCAUAGGCCUUCUCCAAGUCAAUGAACACCAUAUGCAAGUCCUUCUUAUGCUCCCUAUAUCUCUCCAUAAGUUGUCGUAUCAAGAAAAUGGCUUCCAUGGUCGACCUCCCAGGCAUGAAACCAAACUGAUUUUUGGUCACGCUUGUCAUUCUUCUUAAGCGGUGCUCAAUGACUCUCUCCCAUAGCUUCAUUGUAUGGCUCAUCAGCUUAAUUCCACGGUAAUUAGUACAACUCUGAACAUCCCCCUUGUUCUUGAAGAUUGGUACUAAUAUACUCCGUCUCCAUUCUUCUGGCAUCUUGUUUGCCCGAAAAAUGAGGUUGAAAAGCUUGGUUAGCCAUACUAUCGCUAUGUCCCCGAGACCUUUCCACACCUCAAUGGGGAUACAAUCAGGGCCCAUCGCCUUGCCUCCUUUCAUCCUUUUUAAAGCCUCCUUCACCUCAGACUCCUGGAUGCGCCGCACAAAACGCAUGCUGGUCUCAUCAAAGGAGUCAUUCAGUUCAAUGGUAGAACUCUCAUUCUCCCCAUUGAACAGCUUGUCGAAGUACUCCCGCCAUCUAUGCUUAAUCUCUUCGUCCUUCACCAAGAGUUGGCCUGCUCCGUCCUUGAUGCAUUUGACUUGGCCAAUAUCCCUCGUCUUCCUCUCCCGGAUCUUAGCCAUCUUAUAGAUGUCCCUUUCACCUUCCUUCGUGCCUAACCGUUGGUAGAGGUCCUCAUAUGCCGACCCCUUGCUUCACCAACAGCUCGCUUUGCGGCCUUCUUCGCCAUCUUGUACUUCUCUAUGUUGUCUGCACUCCUAUCCAGGUAUAGGCGUCUGAAGCAAUCUUUCUUCUCUUUAAGCGCCUUCUGGACAUCAUCAUUCCACCACCAGGUAUCCUUAUCUUCGCUUCUCCUUCCCCUGGACACUCCAAACUCCUCCGAGGCCACCUUACGAAUGCAAGUCGCCAUCUUCAUCCACAUAUUGUCCGCAUCCCCUCCUUCCUCCCAAGGGCCCUCCUUAAAUACCCUCUCCUUGAACACCUGAGCUACCUCCCCCUUGAGCUUCCACCACUUCGUUCUAGCGACCUUGGCACGCUUAUCCCGCUAGACACAAAUCCGACAGCGGAAGUCAACAACCACCAGCUUAUGCUGGGGUACAACACUCUCCCCAGGUAUCACCUUACAGUCUAGGCACGCACGCCUAUCUUCUCUUCUCGAGAGGAUGAAAUCAAUCUGGCUAGAGUGUUGGCCACUACUAAAAGUCACCAGAUGUGAUUCUCUCUUUCUAAAGAGGGUGUUAGCUACAAUCAUGUUGUAGGCUAGAGCAAAGCUUAAGACAUCUUCUCCUUCUUGAUUCCUGAUGCCAUAGCCAAAGCCCCCAUGCGCCCCUUCAAAACCUGUGUUAGAUGUACCCACGUGGCCAUUGAGGUCUCCUCCUAUGAAGAGCUUCUCACCAAUCGGUACACUCCUAACCAUGUCUUCCAAGCCUUCCCAGAACUCCCUCUUGGUGUUCUCAUUGUGGCCUACUUGCGGGGCAUAUGCGCUGAUAACAUUGAGAACCAAGUCCUCAGCUACCAGCUUGACCAGGAUAAUCCGGUCCCCACGUCUCCUGACGUCUACCACUCCAUACUUGAGGCUCUUGUUGAUCAAGAUGCCUACGCCAUUUCUAUUUGCAGUCGUCCCCGUGUACCACAGCUUGAAGCCGGUAUCCUCCACCUCCUUCGCCUUCUGUCCUCUCCAUUUGGUUUCUUGGACGCAAAGGAUAUCAACACCUCUCCUCACUGUUGCAUCAACUAACUCCCGAAGCUUCCCUGUCAGAGACCCUACGUUCCAGCUACCUAAGCGAAUCCUCCUAGGCUCGGCUAGCUUCCUUACCCUUCGCACUCGUCGAGUCAAAUGCGAAGACCCUUGCUCAUUUUCCACUACAUCCGGGCGCCGAUGUAGCGCGCCACUAAGGAUGCGACGACCCGAUCCUCGCUCACUUGCCACCGUAUCCGGAUCAAGAUACGGCGCGCCACUUGGGGGGUGAUGGCCCGGCCCUUGCCCAUUUUCCACCACACCCGGGUUCCGAUGUGGCGCGUCGCUGAGAGGGUUACGCCCCAACGAAAAUCUUUUGGGUUUCAUCUCCAUAAGAGUGGCUGAGUUUUUACGUUGGCUCGCCAAGCCUAUCACAACCCUCCUCCUUUACCCGGGCUUGGGACCGGCUAUGUUGAGACAACAUAGGCGGAGUUUGAAAAAGGGCAACCUGGUGCAUGUAGCUCCCGCUUGCGCAGGGUCCAGGGAAGGGUCCGACCACUUCGACUUUGGGUAAAGGAAAUGCGAUGCGUUCUGGCUUUGCUUACAUUCUUUCCUUUAAGACAGAGAUUCUUGUUCCUGGUGAUAUGGACCUAAAAGGGCUAUGUCACCAGCAACUCUUAAAUGUUCUUCGAGUAAAGUUAAGGGGAAUUUGCCAAAAAGGACAUAUUCCAACAUCUUUAUAACAAAAAAUACAUAGGCUAGUUCAGCAGACGCGCUAUUUUACUAAUAAUAAUGAAAUAAAUGCAAGUACACCAAGCCAAGCAAGACACAAGUUUUUGCUAAGUCUAAUAGUAACAGUAGUUCCAGCGGAAAAGUUUCACAUCGACAGUAAUACUAUCUUAUGCAGACAUACAAUAGCUAAAGUAUAUUUCAAGACAAGGACGUCAGAAGAAAAGCAAACGGUAUUGUGCAAAUGCAGGAAGACAGGAGAAAAAUGAGUAAAUGACAGUUGAUACCUUGACUUUCCCUGGGCACAGUUAUGAUAAGAACCGAUUUUGCUUCACUUAGCCAUGCCAGGCCACUCACUGUCAACAAAGGUCAACUG
rnacentral:lncRNA from 1 species